AGCGCGCAGCCGGCCGCCCUCAACCGCUCCCAGCAUCGGUUGCCGGUGGUUCGGGGCAGGGAGACGACGCAGCGCGAGCGGAAAGGGCGGUUACCCAACGGCCUUAGCUCUCAUGGCGUCCUCCGUGGUGUUACCUAAAAAUAAAGUUAUUUGUGAUUAGAAGGUAAUCGCCUCCUGGUCAUGCUUCCGCUGGUCAACAGUGUCUGCGGGGCGACCCCAUCCUUGUGGCCAGAGAGGGCCUGUGGCUGCGCUCAAGGCGGGAGCGGUCCUUAGCGGGGCCCUGCGGGACGCCCAGGCCGCGCUCCUUUCCCUUGCUCGCCUGGCCUUGAAGUGAAGGGGGAGGUUUAACAAUGCAGUGGGAACCCCAAAGUUUGUCUCGGCCGUGCUGCUCACAUUCCAAACAAUGCAAAAGGUUGAGGAAAACCUCAGCAGUUGAAACCGUGAUGCAUUUCAGCAAAGAAGUAGCUCCUGUCCUCGUAAAAUCAGUGAAGUUCUCACGGACGACCUCAUUGAAAGUUUUCAUGGGCUGAGCUGCUGACUUCAGCCUGGGAACUGAGGCCAACAUCGGAGUCUCCUCGGCACACAAGUUUGAAAGAAGUCCUAGUGACUUCAAGCUCAGAACCAUGGACGGCAGGGCUCCCUCUGGAUGUGGAAUUCUCCGUCCCUUUCCAGGGAGGGAACAAAGCCCACAAGCACCGAGACUCCUUCAGGGUGAGCAAAGGCCUGGAAAAACCUGUAUGCAGAUAAAGAAAAGGAAAGAAAGAGAUAAUCAGUGCAUGCAGUUGUCAGCUGGCUGGGACCUGAGGAGAGUCACUUGUGGAGGCAACUGGUCUUUAUCCCCAUUGUCCGGUACAAGGCAGGCAUUAAUCCUGUGAUCCUUAUCUGAAGCUCAGGUUUGAUUUUAUUCUUUUCUUAAGUACCUACUGUUAUCCCCAAGCUUAUAAUAAUAGUUUAAUUGUUACAGCCAGUAUCUCACCUUCAGAAGUAAGAUGCUUAGGAAACCAAGACAAGGAACUGUGUGUUGCAAACAGCAUCACCCUGGAGAAGAGGUGGCAGGAGGUGACCUACAGAAAAUGGAGUAAUAGCCUAGAGCAAGAAACACAGAACAAAAGAGAAAUGAGGGGUUAGGCAACCUCCUGGAGCACCAAUGGGACAAGCACAUAUUCAGGGGCCUCCUAACAGACUCGACUUCCAGCAUCCUCAGAUGGUGCUAGACACGUUACAUAGACGUUCAAGAGUAGAGAACUCAGGGACUUCUGAUUUAUAUCAAGAAAUGCAUACACAGCAGACGUGUGCCUGUGGAGUGGAAUUCUGGAAAAGCUCACAGCCCAGAACAUAAUGCAGACUCCCCCAGCCACAGCACCUUCCAAACCUGAGAAGAGUGCUGAUUCUCCAUCUGAGCACCCAUUCUCCUGCAACAUCAGGGGAGAGGAUUUCACCUAAGGGUCAGACCAGCAUCUCCAAACCCAGCUCCCCACCUUUGCCUGUUGGUGGCACUUGUGGGAGAAGGGGAGAUGGUAUGAAAAGAGCCACAACAGGAGUCACCUGGACAGGGUGGAGCUUGAUGGAAACUGACAUUUGUGCCCAUUGGAGGCAAAUGUAGAAUUUGGUAUCUUCCGUAGCGUCAGGCACAUGAAACUCUCCAGUGCCCAUGACUUUUGACAGUGACUUCAGAGCACAUCUGGGAGACCCAUGUGGCCCAGGCUCCACACAGGCAGGAGCUCAGCUUCACUCACAGCAGGAUUCCUAGUGCCAAGAACACCAUAGGUGCAUAGCAGGUGAUCAAAAUAAUUGUAUGUGGCUGAAUCAGUGAGAGGUAAGAGAGAGGACUUGAUCCUAGCUGCAAACUAAGAGACCUCAUUAAAACCUAACAUGUGGCUGGGUGUGGUGGCUCACGCCUGUAAGCCCAGCACUUUGGGAGGCCGAGGGGUGGAUCACCUGAGGUCAGGAGUUCAAGACAAGCCUGGCCAACGUGGUGAAAACCCAUCUCUACUAAAUAUACAAAAAAUUGGCUGGGCAUGGUGGCAGGUGCCUGUAAUCCCAGCUACUUGGGAGGCUGAGGCAGGAGAAUCACUUGAACCCAGGAGGCGGAGGUUGCAGUGAGCCGAGAUUGCACCACUAUACUCCAGCCUGGCAAUAAGAGCAAAAGUCCGUCUCAAAAC